rnacentral:lncRNA from 1 species
CCGUGGGUGGGGGAGCCAACGCUCCUUCGGCUGCCCCCUCAGUUGCUCCUUCCUCAGACGGUGCUUCGGGUGGCACCACCAUCGCCGACAGUGCGAUGACCGACUCAUAGCCCGACGCUCGUUCGAUGUCGGGCUGCACUGCCACCGUCGCAAUGUCGGUCGGCGAUGAUAUCUGAGGCCUCUUGGGAGGCCGCAAAGGUCCGACCCCGGACGUCGGUCUCUUCCUCACCUCAUGUUGCCGAAUAUCGGCAUCUGUCAGCCUCACUCUCAAUGGCACUACCCCAGAUUAGCACGAGUCCCAAAGAUAAAUGAAAAGAUAAAAGAAUGACCGACAGACCGAACUGUACUUAGAUGGAGAACCGAACUCAGGCCGGCAUCGUACAGAGCUUGCUCGGUGAUGAGCUCCCUCUGCUUCGGC